CCUUUUGGACUCUCUAUGCUUGGCAUGGACUGGGGGGCGACUCCAGCAUUCUAAUCAUAGACAGUUUAACGAGACAAGUAGUAGGUGCAGUAGAGAAGUAGGUAGAUCAAGAACGAAGGCUAUGGGAUCAAAAACGGAGGAGGCAGCAGCUAGAGAGUUGGACCUUGGGUGAAAUUCUCAAAGUUGCAAGUCGGAAGGAUGGACUGGGGGAGACAAGGGGUCUCUAGCAGGGCGGUUGCGGACUUGGACGGGCCAGCUUGAAGAGAGCAAGGUCUAGAGGGAGCAAGACGUGGGUGAGUGAGGCUGGGGGCUGAGUGACAAGUCAAGAGUUGAGAGCUGGCAGGCCUGGGACUGUACCGGUGAGCAUGCUAGGUGCUGCAAAGACCAAGUAUGAGUGCUGGUGAGACCAAGUCUGCCAGCUGUCUUGUGUGUCGUUCCAGGAGGGACUGGCUUAUAGGGGCUGUUCUGACAUACUGUC
rnacentral:misc_RNA from 1 species